AUUGAACGCUGGCGGCAUGCUUUACACAUGCAAGUCGAACGGCAGCGCGGGCUUCGGCCUGGUGGCGAGUGGCGAACGGGUGAGUAAUACAUCGGAACGUGCCCAGUAGUGGGGGAUAGCUCGGCGAAAGCCGGAUUAAUACCGCAUACGACCUGAGGGUGAAAGCGGGGGAUCUUCGGACCUCGCGCUAUUGGAGCGGCCGAUGGCAGAUUAGCUAGUUGGUGGGGUAAAGGCCUACCAAGGCGACGAUCUGUAGCUGGUCUGAGAGGACGACCAGCCGCACUGGGACUGAGACACGGCCCAGACUCCUACGGGAGGCAGCAGUGGGGAAUUUUGGACAAUGGGCGAAAGCCUGAUCCAGCAAUGCCGCGUGUGUGAUGAAGGCCUUCGGGUUGUAAAGCACUUUUGGCGGGAACGAAAAGGACUGUGCCAAUACCACGGUUCGAUGACGGUACCCGCAGAAUAAGCACCGGCUAACUACGUG
rnacentral:rRNA from 1 species